rnacentral:rRNA from 1 species
AGUGAACGCUGGCGGCAUGCCUAACACAUGCAAGUCGAACGGCACCACAGUAAGUGGUUGCGCUUACGGGCGUCGAGCGUCGGACGCGUGAGGAAGGCACCGGAAUCUACCUUUACGGGGGGGCUAACGUAGGGAAACUUCCGCGAACACAGCAUACGUCCCAUGGGGGUAAGCCGGGGAUCUAAGGGCCUAUCGCCAUUGUAUGAGCCCACGUUGGAUUCGAUAGUUGGCAGGUUAAAGGGCUAGCAAGGCGACGAUCCAUAGCUGGUCAGUGAGGAUGAUCAGACACACUGGGACUGAGACACGGUCCAGACUCCUACGGGAGGCAGCAGUGGGGAAUAUUGGACAACGGGCGAAAGCCUGAUCCAGCAAGGCCGCGUGAGUGAUGAAGGCCUUAGGGUUGUAAAGCUCUUUUACCCGGGAUGAUAAUGACAGUACCGGGAGAAUAAGCUCCGGCUAACUCCGUG